CUCUGGGAGUUCCUAACACAGGCAGCCUUCCUGCCCUGUGCCCCGCUCUGAGUCAAGAAUCAAUCUCCAACUCUCUAACCCCUGUUUAAUCCCACAGCCCUAUUAUUUGCUGCUCACCUGCAGCCUAAUCAGGCAGCUCCCUACAGCUGGCCAACUGAAAACAUUCCACAAAACAUGUACAAUUCCCCCAGUGUCCAGAGGACAUCAGUCUUAGCAGGGGUAGCUACUUUUGGGCUGUCACAUUUGUCUCCUGUCUCCAUGGGAUCUCCUGUCCCCACCAGGCUCAGCAAUCUGGCACUCCCUGCGGUGCCCCUUUGCUACUCCACCAGGCCUUUUCUACUGGACGACACUAGCUCAUCAAGCCCUCCUUCUAGCCUACCCCUAUCUGCUUAGAUCCCUAUUCUGUGGAUGAUCCCCUGGGAAAACUAUUUCCCUCUACCCCCCUUGGUGGGGCAAUAGGCGGCCCUUAGUACCUAACCGUGACUCAAACAUCUAGUGCCCUGUUCUUACCUCUCCUUACCCUGUAUGCUAUUAUUCCUUGCUUCCAGCUGGUCUCUUCCUGUGUUCUCCCAUAAAGACCACUAAUUCUGGAUGUGGUCCACUUUUAUACAUCCUGCCCACACUGCUCUCUAGUGGUUGGGGGUGCGAACUACACUCAUAAAUUUUUAAUAGAUUUUAACAAAAUUAUACUGCCACCUAGUGGCCAUUGAAAGAAAACACAUGCAAUCAUAACACAUUUACAUUUACAAUUUUAAAUAACUGUAAAACCAGUUACAGGUUGGUUUAGCAAAAACCCACAUAGUUGCUGCAUUAAGAGUUUUUUUUUAUAGGUGUAGGGCAACAAGUUUGUUUGUGCUUCAAUAAAAAGGCUUGAUACUUGAGACUUUACAACACUUGAAUUGAAGUGACUUCCCCUUUGUGUUUUAUUCAUUAAUUGUUAUUAUCUGAUCUUUCUUACAAAGUCCGGUACACCCAUUGUGUUUUUGUAUACCCAUUUGCAAUACAGGUCCAGACUAUCCACUGCACUAAAAGAUGUUGACUGAUAAUUACCCUUACAUUAGCCACAGAUUGAUCACUGAACUAUUAAGUACUAUGACAACUGAAGUUGUAAGUUUCAAUGCCCUUAUAUGUGCCUUGCUGGGACAGAAAAUAUGGUUCCAAACCAUAGCCAUACUAUGACGAUGUGCCAAUAUCUUCCAAUAAAUGCAAGUGAAUGAAGGAGCCCAGACAGUGGAAGGUGUUAAUAACCAAUGUGGCAUUCAGUUGAUUAUUGGUUAUUACUGCACUGUGUCUCCUGUCUUCUGACCAUUGUGUUGAGCAACAAUAGAGGAAUGUAGCAUUUUUGGUUAAGAGAUCUAACAAUUAACUGUUAUUUCAAGGAGAGGUAUUAAAGGGAAUGUCUAUUUCCUCCUCUCCUUUUCCUGACUAAUCAUACCUUUGAAAAGCCUUGCAUGUUCUGAGAUUAACAGACCUCUAAAGAAGACAUAUAAGAAAAGUCUGACUAUUUUUUUGGGCUGGCAUCCCCUUUAAAACUUUGUUUAUUAUGUAUCAAUUUUUUAUGAGGCUUAUGUCUAUGCAACAUUAUUCACCUUUUAUGCUGUCCAUAUGUAUGGUUGAAUAACAAGCCACUCAAGAGUGAUGUGAAAUGCUCUAUAAAAUAUCUUUGGCCCCUUAUGUACAAUCAUGUCAAACUGCUGGUUAAACAGUUACCAAUAUCAUCCAUCUAGCUCUCUGUUCUGGCCACAAAUCCUUUGCCAACAGAAUAUUUACACAUUGAUAGCAAUUAGAAUACUUUUGCUCAUUCUUUUUUCCCAGUUCUCUUUACUCUGCUCUGCAACAAUAAUAUAAUUCUCUGUUCCUGUAAUCUUGAUCAUAAUUUCUGCUACUUAGCUAGGGUCAUUGCAAAGGAGCCUCUUUAGUACCAGAACAGAAAGGAUCUACUGGCUCCCUGACCUUUGCAUUAGAUAAGAUGUUAAGCAACCUGUCUCUCUCAACUAGGAAAUCUUUUCCGAAUGAUCAUUGCCAUUAUAGUGAUAUACUGAUACCUCUUCCUUUUCUUGGGAACUUACCAAAAGAAUUUUUGAAAGCACUUGAUAAGGCACUGUUUCACUUAUUCGGUUCACUGCGACGUGUGUCAAAUGAAAACAUUGUAACUAUGGACAAUUUACCUUUAAGUAACAAUGUAUUUAUUUGUUUUUUUCUGAAAACUGUGUUUUUCUCAAUACAUGCUUGUAGAAGGUGUGCUACAAAAGUGUAUAAAAGUGAAGUUCUUUGUAUUACUCCGUAGCUUGAAAAAAGGCUGUGUGAAAGCCUGAAAUGAUGCUGCUUGUUGGAGAUUGAAGCCAGAUGUGAGCAAUAAAGUUUUUUUAAAUCAUUUUCAGAGAAGGUGCUGUGACUAUUACGUUCAUUAUCUGAUGUGGCUGAUGUGUGGACAGUCUCAACCUGCACCUAAACACGAACUCUUGGAGUGGUACAUUCUAACGGAUCAACCUUUUAGAUGAACUCACCUCUUCCAUUCUCAUAAUAAAGCAGUCUAUAAAGUCUCUUGGACAGUUCUUAUCCAGCGU